rnacentral:rRNA from 1 species
GUGCCAGCCGCCGCGGUAAUACCGGCAGCUCAAGUGAUGUCCCAUAUUAUUGGGCCUAAAGCGUCCGUAGCUGGCCGACCAAGUCUCCCGGGAAAUCCACCCGCUCAACGGGUGGGCGUCCGGUGGAAACUGUGUGGCUUGGGACCGGAAGGCGCGACGGGUACGUCCGGGGUAGGAGUGAAAUCCCGUAAUCCUGGACGGACCGCCGAUGGCGAAAGCACGUCGCGAAGACGGAUCCGACAGUGAGGGACGAAAGCUAGGGUCUCGAACCGGAUUAGAACCCGGUGUCC